UGGGGAAUCUUGCGCAAUGCGCGAAAGCGUGACGCAGCAACGCCGCGUGGGGGAAGAAGGCCUUCGGGUUGUAAACCCCUUUCAGGAGGGACGAAGGUACGACGGUGAAUAGCCGCUCGUACUGACGGUACCUCCACAAGAAGCCCCGGCUAACUACGUGCCAGCAGCCGCGGUAAUACGUAGGGGGCAAGCGUUGUCCGGAAUCAUUGGGCGUAAAGCGCGCGUAGGCGGCCCGGUAAGUCCGCUCUGAAAGUCCAGGGCUCAACCCUGGAAAGCGGGUGGAUACUGCCGGGCUAGAAUCCGGAAGAGGCGAGUGGAAUUCCUGGUGUAGCGGUGGAAUGCGCAGAUAUCAGGAGGAACACCAAUAGCGAAGGCAGCUCGCUGGGACGGUAUUGACGCUGAGGCGCGAAAGCGUGGGGAGCAAACAGGAUUAGAUACCCUGGUAGUCCACGCCGUAAACGAUGGGCACUAGGUGUGGGAGGUGUCGACUCCUUCCGCGCCGACGCUAACGCAA
rnacentral:rRNA from 1 species